AAAAACUGAACAUUUCAGUAGAAUCGUUUCUUUCAGCUUUUUUUUGGAGGUCAAUUUUCCGGUGAAAGAGAUGAUCUUUUUCCGGCGAGGUUCGUCAAUGAUUUCAUAGUAGAUUCUUUGCUUUGACUAUUUUCUUUUGUUUCAUAUUUGUAUUAGUUUCAUGGAAAGAAUUAAAAUUUAAAUUCGAGUAUGUUAGGUAAAUUUUGAGUAUAGAAC
rnacentral:lncRNA from 1 species